rnacentral:rRNA from 1 species
AUUGAACGCUGGCGGAAUGCUUUACACAUGCAAGUCGAACGGUAGAGGGGCAACCCUUGAGAGUGGCGAACGGGUGAGUAAUGUAUCGGAACAUGCCCAGUCGUGGGGGAUAACGUAGCGAAAGUUACGCUAAUACCGCAUACGAUCCAUGGAUGAAAGCGGGGGAUCGCAAGACCUCGCGCGAUUGGAGUGGCCGAUAUCAGAUUAGGUAGUUGGUGGGGUAAAGGCCUACCAAGCCGACGAUCUGUAGCUGGGCUGAGAGGAAGACCAGCCACACUGGGACUGAGACACGGCCCAGACUCCUACGGGAGGCAGCAGUGGGGAAUUUUGGACAAUGGGCGAAAGCCUGAUCCAGCCAUUCCGCGUGCAGGAAGAAGGCCUUCGGGUUGUAAACUGCUUUUGUACGGAACGAAACGCGCUGUGCUAAUACCACGGCGUAAUGACGGUACCGUAAGAAUAAGCACCGGCUAACUACGUGCCAGCCGCCGCCGUAAGAC